rnacentral:rRNA from 1 species
ACAUGCUUAUAGCAUAGCAUCAAUGCACCGGAUCCCAUUAGAACUCCAUAGUUAAGCGCGCUCAAGCUAGAGUAGUAUUGGGAUGGGUGACCGCUCGGGUAAUCCUUGUGUUUUACAUGCC